AGCGAACGCUGGCGGCAGGCUUAACACAUGCAAGUCGAACGGUCCUUCGGGAUAGUGGCGGACGGGUGAGUAACACGUGGGAACGUACCCUUAGGUUCGAAACAACACAGGGAAACUUGUGCUAAUACCGGAUAAGCCCUUCGGGGGAAAGAUUUAUCGCCUUUGGAGCGGCCCGCGUCUGAUUAGCUUGUUGGUGAGGUAAUGGCUCACCAAGGCUACGAUCAGUAGCUGGUCUGAGAGGAUGGCCAGCCACACUGGGACUGAGACACGGCCCAGAGUCCUACGGGAGGCAGCAGUGGGGAAUCUGGCGCAAUGGGCGAAAGCCUGACGCAGCCAUGCCGCGUGGAUGAUGAAGGUCUUAGGAUUGUAAAAUCCUUUCACUGGGGACGAUAAUGACGGUACCCGGAGAAGAAGCCCCGGCUAACUUCGUGCCAGCAGCCGCCGUAA
rnacentral:rRNA from 1 species